rnacentral:lncRNA from 1 species
GGGGAACCUCCGUGAGAGGUGCGGGGCGAUGCGGCCCCUCCCACCUGAGGCUGUGGAAGCGACGUGUCUGGGGUGCAGACAGGACUAAAAUCUUUUAGGACAAAAAGAAACCGAUUGUGGUAAAUCCUCUGGACAACGCCGGGUCCUCGGAAGCGGUGCGACUCACUGGGCAGGUGCCAGGAUUGUUGUUCUGGAAACAGUAGGACCAAAAAGCUAUGCUAGAUAUGACUGGACAUCCCAGCAGCACAGCCACACUGGCAAACACAGCAACACAGAAGCAAAGCAUGAGUGGGAAGGUCUGAAGAAGAGUCUCCAGAGCAAGAGGAGACAAAGCAAGAUGUCAUAAACUAUAAGAUGUUUGUGGCUGGGCUGGAGAGAUGGCUCAGCGGUUAAGAGCACUGACUGACUACUCUUCCAGAGGUCCUGAGUUCAAUUCCCAGCAACCACAUGGUGGCUCACAACCAUCUGUAAUGAGAUCUGAUGCCCUCUUCUGGUGUGUCUGAAGACAGUUAUAGUGUACUUAUAUAUAAUAAAUAAAUCUUAAAAAAAGAAACAUA